rnacentral:tRNA from 1 species
GACUCGCUAGCUUAAUUGGUAGAGCUACUGACUCUUAAUCAGUGGGUACCGGGUUCGAGUCCCGGGCGGGUCACCA